CUUGAUUAAGGUGUGCAUAGGAGGUAACUAUUUAACAAACUUACCUCGUCAUAAUUUUUACCUACUAGUAUUGAUAAUUUAACCCCUUAAGGACACAACUUCUGGAAUAAAAGGGAAUCAUGACAGAAUAUUUCCAUCGUGUCCUUAAGGGGUUAACAUACAGUUAAUUAUGCUAUUUGUUGUAUGUGAUGAUCUGGCUACAAAGCAAAUAGUUCUGGGAGUUAUCAUUCAACUUUUAACUUCUUCAGGACUUAACCCAUCUAAUGAGUAUAUACUACCCCAGAAACCUGCUGUGCAGGUAUUUAUGGUGUAAGCUCAGCAUUCCCAUAGAGUGUCACUGGAGCAUAAUGACUUCUAGCUAAGUGAUAUUUUUUUAUCUGCACAGAACUGUCUGUAGAAGCUGUAAAUCAC